UACGUAGGGGGCUAGCGUUGUCCGGAAUCAUUGGGCGUAAAGAGCGCGUAGGCGGCCCGGUAAGUCUGCUGUAAAAGUCAAAGGCUUAACCUUUGAAAGUCAGUGGAUACUGCCGGGCUAGAGUCCGGAAGAGGCGAGUGGAACUCCUGGUGUAGCGGUGGAAUGCGCAGAUAUCAGGAGGAACACCAAUUGCGAAGGCAGCUCGCUGGGACGUUACUGACGCUGAGACGCGAAAGCGUGGGGAGCAAACAGG
rnacentral:rRNA from 1 species